CCUACGGGGGGCUGCAGUGGGGAAUAUUGGACAAUGGGGGGAACCCUGAUCCAGCCAUGCCGCGUGUGUGAAGAAGGCCCUCGGGUUGUAAAGCACUUUCAGUGAGGAAGAACGCCUGGUGGUUAAUACCCAUCAGGAAAGACAUCACUCACAGAAGAAGCACCGGCUAACUCCGUGCCAGCAGCCGCGGUAAUACGGAGGGUGCGAGCGUUAAUCGGAAUUACUGGGCGUAAAGCGCGCGUAGGUGGCUUGAUAAGCCGGUUGUGAAAGCCCCGGGCUCAACCUGGGAACGGCAUCCGGAACUGUCAAGCUAGAGUGCAGGAGAGGAAGGUAGAAUUCCCGGUGUAGCGGUGAAAUGCGUAGAGAUCGGGAGGAAUACCAGUGGCGAAGGCGGCCUUCUGGACUGACACUGACACUGAGGUGCGAAAGCGUGGGUAGCAAACAGGAUUAGAUACCGAGUAGUC
rnacentral:rRNA from 1 species